GGGAUGUCUUCGGUUCACUUAGUUUUGUUGUGGCCACGACAUAUUAACUCAUUGGAACGUGAUAAUAUGACAUGAUGUAAAGUCGUGGCC